rnacentral:rRNA from 1 species
GACAGAGGGGGCAAGCGUUGCUCGGAAUCACUGGGCGUAAAGGGCGCGUAGGCGGGAUGGCAAGUCGGUCGUGAAAUCUCUCGGCUCAACCGAGAAACGUCGGCCGAUACUGCCGUUCUUGAGGGAUGCAGAGGAGACUGGAAUUCCCGGUGUAGCGGUGAAAUGUGUAGAGAUCGGGAGGAACACCGGUGGCGAAGGCGGCCAACUGGACGAGUACUGACGCUGAGACACGAAAGCGUGGGGAGCAAACAGG